rnacentral:rRNA from 1 species
GACGAACGCUGGCGGCGCGCCUAACACAUGCAAGUCGAACGGAGCUGAGAGAAGCUUGCUUUUCUUAGCUUAGUGGCGAACGGGUGAGUAACGCGUGAGUAACCUGCCCUGGAGUGGGGGACAACAGUUGGAAACGACUGCUAAUACCGCAUAAGCCCACGAUCCGGCAUCGGAUUGAGGGAAAAGGAUUUAUUCGCUUCAGGAUGGACUCGCGUCCAAUUAGCUAGUUGGUGAGGUAACGGCCCACCAAGGCGACGAUUGGUGGCCGGACUGAGAGGUUGAACGGCCACAUUGGGACUGAGACACGGCCCAGACUCCUACGGGAGGCAGCAGUGGGGGAUAUUGCACAAUGGGGGAAACCCUGAUGCAGCGACGCCGCGUGGAGGAAGAAGGUUUUCGGAUUGUAAACUCCUGUCGUUAGGGACGAUAAUGACGGUACCUAACAAGAAAGCACCGGCUAACUACGUG